GCUUACUACCCUUCUGGGACGUCGACGUCUGUCGUUCAAGGCCCUUCACAGACGUCCGCUUCGGCUGGCACUUCUUCGUUUCAAGCGCAAGACCCGUCGCAAACGUCUGCUUCUACCGGCACAGGCUACGACCCUCCUCAGAUGUACGCCUCCAGCGAGCUCGACCCAACGGGGAUGUCUCUUUCUUCGUCCUACGACCCUUCCUUCAUGCACGCCUCUGG